rnacentral:rRNA from 1 species
AUGCGAUCGCUGGCGGACGAACUCGUCGCUGCUGGGAGGCCACUGGAACAGGACGAACUCCUCUCCUUCAUCAUUGCGGGGCUAGACCUUGACUACAACUCUGUAGUCUCAGCUCUGGACGCCCGCACUGAGCCGGUCACCGUCGACUUUCUCUACUCGGCGGUCUGCAACUUCGAUCAGCGCAUCGAGCUCUUCACAGGCGGGGUUGGAGGCACCGGUGGCUUCAAGUCUUCUGCCAACCUCACUGCUCAUCGUGGUGGCCCUCCUCCUCUGCCACAGAAGCAAAACGGCGAUGGGUACAAGAAGCAGAACAGCGGCGGCUACAAGAAACGGCAAGGCAACGGGCACCCCUUCUACUCCAACAACAAGGGCUCUCGUCCCGGCCAAGGAGGCCCAGGAGGUCCCGGAGGUCCAGGCGGCCCUGCACCUGGCAACAACGCCAGGAACAACGACCCAAUCCAAUGCCAGAUAUGUGGUAAGUUUGGGCACAGCGCCAAGGACUAUUGGUACCGUUUUGAUGAUGAUGCAUUAGAAGAAAAGGUUGCAGCUGCUGCUUAA